AGUAGUAGCAGCGAGAGCUCGCUGACAGAGUCUGUUUCGGAAUCGGAGAGAAGAGGCGCAUAAGUAAUAGUCACAAUGAGUUUCGAUCUGUCAGAAGCUGCGGGUAAGGACGAGGAGAUAAAGAAGGAGGAAGCACAGAAAGAUGAACUCAAUUUGCCCUGGGGCAAGAACAAAGAUAAGGACAAGGAAGGCAGCAAAGACAAGUCUGGAAGUAAGGACAAGGACAAGUCUGGAAGUAAGGACAAGGACAAGCAUAAGGACAAGGACAAGCAUAAGGACAAGGACAAGCAUAAGGACAAGGAUAAGGACAAGUCUCACAGCAAGGAACAUGGUGAGAAGAAGAAGGAGAAAAAGAAAAAGGAGAAGAAGCAUGGAGGCAAAUCUUCCAGCAGUGAUGAGGACUGAUGCUUCUUCGGGGACCAAACUGCUAUGUUAGUCUUUUUAUAAUAUCAUCUGUCGACUAAGUGAGUGUGCCAGUUUUUCUUUUUGUCCUUCUGUUGAUAUCUCAAGUACACAAAACCGAUGAUUCCUGGAAAUUAAUGUUCUGACAACAAACAGUAGGUCUGCAGGAUUUACCCCCAUUUUUUUCCACUCCUGGCCUGUAUGGUUUUUCACCACAAGAUGGCAGUAAUGUCCACAUAAAGCAAAAAAAUGUGAAGAUACUUUCUGUUAUGAGAACGAAUAAAAAUACACAGAUCGUUGUUGUCUGUCACUGUCAUUUAUUUUUGUUUUGGUAAAAUAAAAAAGAGUUGGACUAAAGUAAAUAAA